UACAGAGGUCUCAAGCGUUGUUCGGAUUCAUUGGGCGUAAAGGGUGCGUAGGCGGCGCGGUAAGUCGGACGUGAAAUCCCUCAGCUUAACUGGGGAACUGCGUCCGAUACUGGAUGGCUUGGAUUUGGGAGAGGGAUGCGGAAUUCCAGGUGUAGCGGUGAAAUGCGUAGAUAUCUGGAGGAACACCGGUGGCGAAGGCGGCAUCCUGGACCAACAUUGACGCUGAGGAGCGAAAGCUAGGGGAGCAAACGGG
rnacentral:rRNA from 1 species